rnacentral:rRNA from 1 species
GACAGAGGGUGCAAACGUUGUUCGGAAUUACUGGGCGUAAAGCGCGUGUAGGCGGUCUCGGCAAGUCCGGAUGUGGAAAGCCCAGGGCUCGAACCCUGGAAGUGCACUCGAUACUGCGAGGCUAGAGUCCGGAGAGGAUGGUGGAACUCUCGGUGUAGAGGUGAAAUUCGUAGAUAUCGAGAAGAACACCGGUGGCGAAGGCGGCCAUCUGGACGGUGACUGACG